UGAGGAAUAUUGCGCAAUGGGCGAAAGCCUGACGCAGCGACGCCGCGUGGAGGAUGAAGGUUUUCGGAUUGUAAAACUCCUGUUAAAGUGGGAAGAAACGACAAAAUAUAAUACAUUUUGUAACUGACGGUACCAUUAAAGAAAGCACCGGCUAACUUCGUGCCAGCAGCCGCGGUAAUACGAGGGGUGCAAGCGUUAUUCGGAAUUAUUGGGCGUAAAGGGUGCGUAGGCGGCGUAUUAAGUCAACUGUUAAAACCUCCAGCCUAACUGGAGAUCAGCAGUAGAUACUGGUAUGCUAGAGGAUGGAAGAAAGAAGUGGAAUUCUUGGAGUAGCGGUGGAAUGCGUAGAUCUCAAGAGGAACACCAAUGGCGAAGGCAGCUUCUUGGUCCAUAUCUGACGCUGAUGCACGAAAGCGUGGGGAGCAAACAGGAUUGAUACCCUGGUAGUCCACGCCGUAAACGAUGAUCACUAGAUGUUAAUUCUGCUUGCAGAAUUAGUGUCGUAGCUAACGCGAUAAGUGAUCCGCCUGGGGGACUACGGUCGCAAGAUUAAAACUCAAAGGAAUUGACGGGGGUCAUAGCUG
rnacentral:rRNA from 1 species